GAGGCCGAAGCGACACCGCCGCCGGUCCCCGCAAUGCUCCGGACGGCUGCCGGCUCCCGCCGCCUGGGAACGGCCGCGCAGCUCCAUGGAAGCCCUAAUGGCACUUUUGUUUUAGUAAGACCUUAAAUGCCACUAUUAGCGUCUAAUCGGGCUCCUCCGCGAGGGAAACCUGUGAGUUCAGUCCAAAAUGUGCAUCUUUGGGAAAACUCUGGCCAGGGCGAGCAGUGGGAGACCUAUUUGAACCCCCUCACAAGCCCCGUCGAAGCGCUGCGACCAGAAGCCUCGGUGGGGGUCUCAAACUUUGCCUAAACUAUGUGUCAGCUAGCUCUGGAAAUAAAGCAGGAGGGGAAGCCAUCCACUGGAGUUUUUAAAAACA